rnacentral:lncRNA from 1 species
CCUUAAUUGCAAAGCACACGCGCUAUUCUGUGGUUCAUCGUUCAUUUAACAAAUACUUAAUAAGCACCUUAUGAGAAAAGCUGCAGUAGGUCUUGUGGAGAAUGGGAGGAUGACUAGGACCCAAUCCCGUCGUCAUGGAAACCAUUGUGACUCCUGCCACCAGCCACCACCUGUUCCCAUUCCGGAUCUGAAAAUGAAGUCCUAGCACCUUUACAAAACAAUUACACACACAGUUUGACUUGGCUCCUAAAUGUCCCACCAAAUCCAUCAAAAUUAUUAUUUCCUUUUACAUGAAAGGAACAACACAGUAACCCUUUGUCCUUUGCUCUAAGUUGUUUUUCCAGGAAUGGAGAAAGGUUACUCUGAGCAGUUCAUACUCGCCAGUUGUCUGUUAGUGAAUAAUAGCACACAUUUGAGCUACUUCAGGGUCUGUGAGAUGACCCAUUCAACAACAUGGCCUCACAUGCCCUUGUUCUCUUAGGCACUUCAGCAACCCAACCUUAGGGCUACACCUUGGAUCAUGUUGCCAGUCAGUGCUGCUUGACCAGAAUUUUGAAUUCUGGCCACAGCUGCUUCUUGGACUUUUCAUGUCACUCUUUCAUGUUUAUUAAGUUUUGUCUUAAUUUCCAUAAUCUUUGCCAGUUCUUUAACCCCUCUAAAAUUCUCAGUCUCUCACUCCUCUGCUAAGGAAGGGUUUGAAGGCUGCAAAAAAUUGGAAGGAGGCAGAGGGAAGAAUGUUAAUCUAGAAGCUUUUGCAUAGCAAGCAGAAACUUCUAGAUUCAUUAGUAUUUAGAAUGUAUGCUUACCUGGUGCACCUUGUGGGUAACCAUAGAGAUUAUGGAUAGAAUAACGGGAAAGGAGAGAGGGAGAUGAUAGGGGACUACACUCAGAGGUGGUGAGAAAGACAGAAAAGGAGAGAUUUAAAGACGUGUAGGUAAAAUCAAUAGUAUACAUGAGAAGAGGUAAGGGGUGCAAGGAAUAGAAAUUCAUCAAAGAUGGCUAUAGUUUCUCUAACUUGAGGAACUGAGUAGAUGGGCGAUAAUGCAUUAAUCAAGUUAAAGAACAACAGUCAAAAAGCCAAAACAGCAGAAAGUACAAAGAACAUCUGGUUUACUUGCCUCACUAGUCAUCGUGGUUGUCACAUUUGGACUGCACAGGAAGCAUUAUAGAGAGAUUAUAGAACCCGGCUGGUUCUUGGAUCCAACUGACUGUGUGUCUGAUUCCUUUUGGAUCCUGCUAUGCCAAAACUGGAUCAAAACGAACGCCAAGUGCUUACUUUGAAAAAAUAGGCAAAUGGUGGUGGCAAUGGCUCACGCCUGUAAUUCCAGCACUUUGAGAGACC